rnacentral:rRNA from 1 species
AUUGAACGCUGGCGGCAUGCUUUACACAUGCAAGUCGAACGGUAACAGGUCUUCGGAUGCUGACGAGUGGCGAACGGGUGAGUAAUGCAUCGGAACGUGCCCAGUCGUGGGGGAUAACGCAGCGAAAGCUGUGCUAAUACCGCAUACGAUCUAUGGAUGAAAGCGGGGGACCGUAAGGCCUCGCGCGAUUGGAGCGGCCGAUGUCAGAUUAGGUAGUUGGUGGGGUAAAGGCCCACCAAGCCAACGAUCUGUAGCUGGUCUGAGAGGACGACCAGCCACACUGGGACUGAGACACGGCCCAGACUCCGACGGGAGGCAGCAGUGGGGAAUUUUGGACAAUGGGCGCAAGCCUGAUCCAGCAAUGCCGCGUGCAGGAAGAAGGCCUUCGGGUUGUAAACUGCUUUUGUACGGAACGAAAAGGCUCUCUCUAAUACAGGGGGCUCAUGACGGUACCGUAAGAAUAAGCACCGGCUAACUACGUGCCAGCCGCCGCCGUAAUAC